CUCAAAGAAGGUGAAGGGCGGGCCGACCGGGUCAGGAGGCGAAGGAGCCUCUGUAAGGCCUAGUUUUCGGUCAUGGCGCCCAGCGCGGAAGGAGGCAAAGGCUGCGGCGAGAAGGAAGGCGCGCUAGGCCGCGGCGUCCGGAAGGGCAUCCGCGCUGUCCUCCUGGGCCCCCCAGGCGCAGGGAAAGGCACUCAGGCUCCUCGGCUUGCUGAAACCUAUUGCGUGUGCCACUUGGCAACAGGGGACAUGCUGAGGGCCAUGGUGGCCACUGGAUCAGAGCUUGGAAAACGGCUGAAAGCAACAAUGGAUGCUGGGAAGUUGGUGAGUGACGAAAUGGUGGUGGAGCUGAUUGAGAACAACCUGGAGACCCCUCCCUGCAAGAACGGCUUCCUUCUGGAUGGGUUCCCCCGCACUGUCCGCCAAGCGGAGAUGCUGGAUGAACUCAUGGAAAAAAGAAAAGAGAAGCUAGAAUCUGUUAUUGAAUUCAGUGUCCCGGACUCCUUGCUGAUCCGAAGAAUUACUGGAAGGCUGAUCCACCCAGCAAGUGGCCGUUCAUACCACGAGGAGUUCAACCCUCCAAAGGUUGCCAUGAAAGAUGAUGUGACCGGGGAGCCCUUGAUCCGCCGUUCAGAUGACAACGAAGCCGCCUUGAAAAAUCGCCUGAAGUCAUAUCACACCCAGACAACGCCCCUGAUUGGCUACUACUCCCGGCGUGGAAUCCACACAGCCAUCGAUGCUUCCCAGUCCCCGGACGUGGUUUUCGCCAGCAUCCUGGCCGCGUUCUCGAAAGCAACAUGUAAAGACCUCGUCAUGUUCAUUUAGGACUCUUCUCCUGUCUGGUCCGUCCUUCCUUCCUUCUUUCCUGUCUUCUGGGAUCAGAGAGAGAGCUGCAUGAAUCCAGGAGGUGGACGGGACAGGACUCCAUGGAGCACCGCAGGGUCAUCGCCCCUCAUCCACACCUUCACCCUAUUUUCAGGGGUGAAAUUGGGGGGGGGGGAAGGAAGGUGUAGUAUGGAGGGUAUCUUACCAAAAGAAUGUAUUUAGGAAGAAAAAGAAUUGCAGUGUCAAAACAGAUUGGAGGACUGGUUGUCAUCACUUUGACAUCGGAAAAUUAUUUGUGUUGCAAAGAAUGAAUUGUCUGUAAUGAGAGAUCAGACCAGAGGGGAGCAUGCAAUUCUCAGCAGUCCAGAGUAAGGAAUGCUGAGAGUUACAACUGAACAUGUGGAGAACUGUGUGUCUUCCACUUUUGUCUUAAGCAAUAUGGCUUCUACCUCCCACAUGUUUGUGAGGCCUAAAUGUGCCCCUAACUUUUAAUCAGGAUUUCAGAGUUUGGAAAUGUGCCUUUUUGGGGGCCACAGGUCCCACAAAAUGCCCAAUGAACAAACAGCUUUAGGGCCCUUCAUCUCCCAAUUCUGCUAUGAGGGAGAUACUGUCAUACGAGGGAAUUCUUCAUGUUUUUCCCCCCUUCAGAAGGCUAUUAGCCUUUUCCUUUUGGAGGUGGUCCAGUUUCAGGCCAGUUUUCCCUUCAGAGACAAAACCUAAGUAUCUUUCUUCCCCCGAAAUCACACCUUGCUUCCAACCUGUUCACUUGCCUCCUUUAAAGAGACCGCCUCUUGCUUCAAUAAAAGUGGCUGAACAUUUUG